rnacentral:rRNA from 1 species
GUGCCAGCAGCCGCGGUAAUACGGGGGGAGCAAGCGUAGUCCGGAAUCACUGGGCGUAAAGGGCGUGUAAGUGGGACUGUAAGUCAGAAGUGAAAUCUGUUGAGCUUAACUAACAAACCGCUUCUGAUACUAUAGUUCUUGAGUGAGACAGAGGAAAGUGGAAUCCCUGGUGUAGCGGUGAAAUGUGUAGAUAUCAGGAAGAACACCAGCAGCGAAGGCGGCUUUCUGGGUCUUUACUGACACUGAGGCACGACAGCGUGGGGAGCAAACAGGAUUAGAUACCCUGGUAGCUCCACGCCUUAAACUAUGAGCACUAGGUGUUGGAGGAUUUGACCCCUUCAGUGCCGAAGCUAACGCAUUAAGUGCUCCGCCGGGGGAGUACGAUCGCAAAGUCGAAACUCAAAGGAAUCGACGGGGGCCCGCACAAGCGGUGGACCAUGUGGUNUAAUCCGAUGCAACGCGAGGACCCUACCCGGGGUUUGAAAUGCAGUUGAAGUCCGAGAAAUCCCGCCGCCUGCGGGCAACUGCCCAUGGUGCUGCAUGGU